rnacentral:rRNA from 1 species
AACGAACGCUGGCGGCAUGCCUAACACAUGCAAGUCGAACGGGAUCCUAGCUUGCUAGGUGAGAGUGGCGGACGGGUGAGUAACACGUGGGAAUCUGCCUUUGGUUCGGGAUAACCGCGGGAAACUGCGGCUAAUACCGAAUGCCCUCGAGAGAGGAAAGAUUUAUCGCCAGAAGAGGAGCCCGCGUCCGAUUAGGUAGUUGGUGGGGUAAAGGCCUACCAAGCCGACGAUCGGUAGCUGGUCUGAGAGGAUGAUCAGCCACACUGGGACUGAGAUACGGCCCAGACUCCUACGGGAGGCAGCAGUGGGGAAUAUUGGACAAUGGGGCGAACCCUGAUCUAGCCAUGCCGCGUGAGCGAUGAAGGCCUUAGGGUUGUAAAGCUCUUUCGUGGGGGAAGAUAAUGACGGUACCCCAAGAAGAAGCCCCGGCUAACUCCGUGCCAGCAGCCGCGGUAAU